UUAUAUUUCAUGGAAAGCCAAAAAGCUAAUGGCUAAAGAAUUGAAUAUCAAGGACCUGUUUUCGUCAUGAAGAUGUGGUAGAAGUUGUUAAUGUAGGAAUAUGAUCCUCCAAUAGUAUGGUUUCGAAAUCUGUCAGAAACUGUAGCGCAAUUUGGAGGCAAAUUUCUGAACUAAGUGUAAUGACUGCCUUGUUGUGUGCUUCAUUAUCGCAUGAUUGUUUGUUUCUUCUUUUCUUCUCUUUCUUUUUUUUUUUCAUGCCACUGCAAAUUGAUGGAGAUAUUACAAUGAAAAAUAUCAAGUGUCAGUCGAUUAUUGCCUGUAGGUUGUGCUAUUUAAGUGUAAUUGGUGGAUGAGAGUUUAAGCUCACGAUGGUUGAAGCAGUUCGUCUGUUGACAUGGACCCGAGACGCCCAGCGCUCCUGUACGACGCAAAGGUUUCUAGUGCGUUUAACAUUGGCAUCACUCCAAUACUCAGCAGUGCACAUAACAGUGACAUUACCAAUGAAGACCCUUUUCAGCACUUUUGUUGGUGUGUGUGCUUCGGUUUAGGAACCUUUGGUAUAAAGAGAAUAUCACUGACGAUCCGUUAAAAAGAUGAACUUCGAAUCUGAACUAAACCCCACGUGAACUUAUACACAGUGGCUGGUGGUACUGUGGCAGCAUCACUGGGCGUUGUAGCACCGGUGUGAGUUUGGGCAGUAGUGGUAGUGAUGAAGUGUGUGAAAAGAAGAUGCUGAUGAUCUACAUCAAGGCAAUACGCACUGAGGCAACUCAAGAUUCGCGAGGACAAGAUUCUACUCAGCCUCGGUCCGGAAACCAGUGAGGUGAGGAUGCAAAAUCAGCCGCGGCCCUGAUGUGGUUCCUUGUAGACUUCAUCCAUACACAGCUUUAAUACUAAAUCCUCCAGGCUUAACUCAUAUGUACGCACCUCUAUUUGACGGCAAGCGAAUCGAAACAAAGGAAUUCGGUACAUCGGUGGAAAGCUUCGUAGGCUCCCGUCUGGCAUGAGCGUCGCACAUACUGGUGGCACACACAACCACAAUGGCAUUCCUUAUAGAAUUGUGUGCUCCUAGCUUGGAGGACGGCGGCCGGAUGUCCCACGGGUUAAUAGUAACAAAUCUACCUUACCUCAUAAGAUCUUUACCUCCCCUAACAAGGAUCUUAAGCGAUCAGUUGUGCAGCAGAUGACACAAGUGAGUUUUCUGUCUAUCCUUAAAAGAAAAAAAAAAAAAAAAGUAACACUCGAUUUCAGUCACUCAUAAUUGCAUCAAAACAGGGGUCGCUAUCCGGCAUUAUACGCCCAAAGGCCUCCCCGCCCCACCAGGCCCAUCCUGAGCCUUCUGCACUCCAGUGAACGUUCUUGUGUCUCCUUCGGUGUUCUGGACUCAGCAGAGAAGGCAAGCACCUUAGUAAACUCAUGGAGACGCUCAUGAUAAUAGCAGAGGCUGUUUUUUUUGCAAUUUCAUAUUUUUUUUAAGGAGGGGGUGUUUUGAAACAGCUUUGCUUAUCAAAAUGAGAUAAAAUGACGAAAAUAAGUAUAGCAUGAUAUUGUGUUAAGAAGUCACAUGUUUUGAUUUAUAGCUCAUCUUUUUUUCAUACAAUGUUAGGGAUGCAAGCCAGCCGCAAAUCUCGCUUUAGCUUAAAUACAAAUUAAGCGAAUUACCAGCAUGGGUCUUAAGGGCAUGAAAACAUAAUGACCAUUUAAGCAGCCGACAAAUUAUAGAAUUACACAACGCUCUUGCAUCACCUCUCUAUAUGAGGCUUGUUUCUUUGAAUGGAUACAUUUUUGUUACUAUAGGUACAGAUCAUUGUAUUAUGUACUCUGCAGCUUCUCGGCUCUCAGAGCGGCGUGACACCGCAGCAACCUCUGUGUUCAGGAGAAUGAAGUACUUAGUGGCACACUGAUUUUCAACCAUUGUGCCGUGAAGCAAAUGCAGGUCUGCCUUGGGAACUCGGGAAAGAAGGUUGGUACUCCUUCAGACAAC